rnacentral:rRNA from 1 species
GGGCCCGCACAAGCGGUGGAGUAUGUGGUUUAAUUCGAUGCAACGCGAAGAACCUUACCAACACUUGACAUGUUCGUCGCGACUUUAAGAGAUUAAAGUUUUCGGUUCGGCCGGACGAAACACAGGUGCUGCAUGGCUGUCGUCAGCUCGUGUCGUGAGAUGUUGGGUUAAGUCCCGCAACGAGCGCAACCCUCACUUUUAGUUGCCAUCAUUUAGUUGGGCACUCUGAAAGAACUGCCAGUGAUAAGCUGGAGGAAGGUGGGGAUGACGUCAAGUCCUCAUGGCCCUUACGUGUUGGGCUACACACGUGCUACAAUGGUAUCUACAACAGGAAGCAAAACAGCGAUGUUAAGCAAAUCCUUAAAAGAUACCUCAGUUCGGAUUGCACUCUGCAACUCGAGUGCAUGAAGCUGGAAUUACUAG